ACAAGUUGCUCGUCACCCCCUGGUUAGUUUGCCCAGCCAGCCGGGCUGCGGCAGAUGGUGGCCCAUACGGGGAACCCCGGGACACUCGGGGGUAAGUGACGAAAAAAAAGCUGCCCGUCCACAGAUAGGAUGGGAGCAAAUCUGCUCGUCCCUAGGCAGAUAGGGCUAGAGGAAAAAUGGCCAUUUUGAGAAAAUGGAGAAGAUUGAUACAGUAUGUUUGUGUCUUGUUUUGUCUUGAAAUGUUGUAUUGUCUUUGUGAUGAAAAUAUGGAAGGGGUGAGAAGUAAAUUACUAAGGGAAGGAGGCACCCCAGUGGAACCAAGAAUAGUUAGGACAUGUGUUGAUGGAAGCCCAGGAACUCUAGUCAGAAAGAAGAAAGUUCAGAGGAGGAAGGAUUAUCAGAAAAAAAGUUGCAGCAAAAGGCUAUUACUGAAUACUUUUCGUUACCAGAGGGUGCGUGAAUUGGCGCGGUGGCCGCCACAUGUGCAAGCCGGUCAUGGUGCAGCAAGGAUUUUCCAAGCAGCAGCAGCGGGCUCUUCCCCGCCCCCCACCCAGGGAGCGGGACGCCACUGCAAGAGCCCAAAUCCAAACCUGACCCGGAGGCACAGUCUCGCAAGCUUUUGCUCCCUGUGCCCGGAAGCAGUUUGAGUCCGGGACACUCCCCAGGGCCAUCUGGGGCUUCCCGGAACGCUACAGCUGGCAGAAGAGGCUACUGGCAUCCCUGAUGUUUGGUCAUUUUCAAUGCCAAUAACUCAGCUACAAUUGUUCUCCCACACCUGGAAGCUAAUGAGUAAUGAGCACCAUUAAGGCUUAUUUCAAAUGUAAAAAACCUUGAGAUAAUGUACUAAAUUGUUCAUAAGGUUGUUUUCUUAGCUCCUGCUGGAAUACUACAGGAUUUUCUUUAGCCAUCCGGAGUUCCUACCUUCGUCCCAGUGCCAGUGAAGACGAAGGUGGUAGAAUUUCCAGUGUUGCUGAGAACCAGAUGAGACUUCGGAUCAAGCUAGCUGCCUGCAGAACUUACCUGGACUAUGAUUUACCUGGACUGUGAGUUAAUCUAUUGAGACACUGCUUUACCUGGACUGAGACAACAAACUGUAAUCUACAACAAAUUGUAACUCGGUAUCUUUGCUAAAGGUGUCAUUGCUGGUAUAAUUUUUCCAAGGGCUUCUUGCAUGGAGCCAUCAAUUGGCUUAGUAUUGUGGCAUUUUGUAUCUUCCCCUUCUGCUUUUAGCAGAUUAUUUAUGGUGUUUGUGUAAAAACCACUAUGGUCGUUAUUAAAAUUAAACAAAAGGGGGUAAUGUUAGAGUCUGUAAACAAGUCAGGAUGACUCCUGGCAUUUUGCCAGAGAAAUGUUAGGGUCUAUAAAGAAGUCAAGAUGGCGCCUGGCAAAAUGCCAGAGGGAGUGGUUUGUGAAGUAACACCAGCGAGCCAUUAAGUGUGGAGAUUCCUUAUUGGUUGACUGCUGUAUC
rnacentral:lncRNA from 1 species